GAGAGAGAGAGAGAGAGAGAGAGAGAGAGAGAGAGCAAGGAGGAGGAGGAGGAGGAGAGGAGAGAUAAGCAUCGGUCUUCUUCGGGACCUAAAGUCUAAGCGCCCGGAGGAGGGGGCGCAGUUAGCUCUUCCCUCCCCCUACCCCCACCCUAGCAGCGUCCCAGACGCUGAGUUCUGCCCCUCAGAUCUCUCAGGCCACUGCUAGGGAGAUCUAUCGGGGGCUGGAGUAGGGGAUAGAAGGAAAACAGGCCUGGAGGCAAGGGUGAAGAGCCCCUAUCUUUCCUCUCGGACUUCCCGAGGGUCCUAGGAAACUUUGCUGGAACGAAAAGACAAACUUUGAUUUCCGCGCUGACGAUCCCUGCCCUGCUACUACCCUAAGCCGACGGCCUUCUCCCUUUUCCUGCUGCUACCACUUUCUCUAGUUUUUUCUUUCUUUUUUAUUCUCUUUUUCCCUUUUCUUACUUCAUUUCAUCUCCCGGUCCCCUCCGCCACCGGUCCAAGCGAGGGAAUGCAGUUAGUGCAAGCCACGGAACCCCCUACCCCCUACCUCCCGAUCUCCUCGCGAUCAGUGCGUGGCUGCCCUCUCCCUUGGCAUAUGUUCACCCCAAAAGGCCUUGAGCCUCAUCGCCGGACCGAACCGAUUCCCCGGGACUGGUGCCCCUUUGAACUAGGGGAAAAGUUUCCUCAAGCCUUGGAGGGGCUGGUGUCUGCCCACAGGCUGGGGACACUGCCGGGCGACUCUUGGCUACUUCUGUGUCAGCACAACUCCUCAGACGCCUGCAAACUGAGGUGCAUCUGCAUCUUCGGGAUGUUCACGGUCUAGGAGCCGGCAAGAAGAUGCCGCCAAGAGCAACUCGGUACCCAAGCCAGAACUUAUCAGAUUCAUUGUUAACAAUAUUGGAUGAUAUUCCUACUGUGAAUAUGCUGUACCAGAUGUGUUUCCUGAAGCAAGUCUCAUUGAUUAAAGGAAGUCAUUAUCAUCUUGAAAACCAGCACAACCAUGCUACAUUUGAGUAAUGAAUGCCUGGAUCAGCAAUGUAAUGGUUAACAAAGUGUACUUUUAAAGUGUCUUCAAAGGCAAGAUUUAUGGAAGAGCACCAAAAGUUUCUAGCUUGAGCAUCUAAUAAAUGGUCCUGGAUUUGGAAGAGCAACGUGGGGACUGAUCAACAGAAGUACUACAGUUCAGGGGGAAGAAUGCUGGAUUUAGAGUCAGAGAAUGUUGGAUUCGAUCCUGCCUCAGCCACUUUUUACCUGCGUCAUGGGCAAAGCACUUCACUCCUGUAUGCUUAGAUUCUCAUCUCUGAAAUGAAGGGGGAUUUGACUAGAUGAUGGCAAAGGUCUCUUUGAUAUCUAAAUCUAUGAUCUGUGACAUGGAGGAAUGAUAAAACCUGCCUGAACUUUACCCUUUGAUAUGACCAUUCAUCAUUAAGUGACUGCAAGUCUGGCAGGGAAAGGAGUUGUCUGACUAACAACACAGAUUUAAUUUGCCUUCCAGGGAAGGGGUGGGGGGUGGGGUUUCAAGCCCUUAAAACCAUAAGCCCGUAUAAGUCCCUGGGGUGAAUGGACUUAUUGGAAUGUCGGGUUAUUUUGAUCUUUAGCAGCCCAAAGCGUGUUUUCCUUCUGGAAAGAGUAUAGGUCCUUGGGGUAUACCAUAAAGCUAGAGCAGUUCUGUUUUUGGACUUUGUGGAACGUUUAGGGGUUGUCUUUUCUAGCAACCCCAAAGUAUUUUUUUCUCUAGGGAGAUACCAAAUCAUAGUGGGGGUGCCCAUUAGAUAAUUCUCCCCUGGGUGAGAAGAAGGUGGGAAUCACUAAAGAGGGAAGAGCAUUGUAUUAGUUGUUUAUGGGCUAUUUUGUAUCCUUUGUGUUCUUUGCCCAGUCAUUGUUUCUGUGAAAUAAAGGCUGUCCUCUACCAA